rnacentral:rRNA from 1 species
GCAUAUCAAUAAGCGGAGGAAAAGAAACCAACAGGGAUUGCCCCAGUAACGGCGAGUGAAGCGGCAAGAGCUCAAAUUUGAAAGCUGGCCCCCUCGGGGUCCGCAUUGUAAUUUGCAGAGGAUGCUUCGGGAGUGGCCCCCAUCUAAGUGCUCUGGAACGGGCCGUCAUAGAGGGUGAGAAUCCCGUAUGGGAUGGGGUGUCCGCGACCAUGUGAAGCUCCUUCAACGAGUCGAGUUGUUUGGGAAUGCAGCUCUAAAUGGGUGGUAAAUUUCAUCUAAAGCUAAAUAUUGGCCGGAGACCGAUAGCGCACAAGUAGAGUGAUCGAAAGAUGAAAAGCACUUUGAAAAGAGAGUUAAAAAGCACGUGAAAUUGUUGAAAGGGAAGCGCUUGCGACCAGACUCGCUCGCGGGGUUCAGCCGGUAUUCGUGCCGGUGUACUUCCCCGUGGGCGGGCCAGCGUCGGUUUGGGCGGCCGGUCAAAGGCCCUCGGAAUGUAACGCCUCUCGGGGCGUCUUAUAGCCGAGGGUGCCAUGCGGCCAGCCCGGACCGAGGAACGCGCUUCGGCACGGACGCUGGCAUAAUGGUCGUAAGCGACCCGUCUUGAAACACGGACCAAGGAGUCUAACAUCUACGCGAGUGUUCGGGUGUCAAACCCGUGCGCGCAGUGAAAGCGAACGGAGGUGGGAACCCUCACGGGUGCACCAUCGACCGAUCCUGAUGUCUUCGGAUGGAUUUGAGUAAGAGCGUAGCUGUUGGGACCCGAAAGAUGGUGAACUAUGCCUGAAUAGGGCGAAGCCAGAGGAAACUCUGGUGGAGGGGGGCAGCGGUUCUGACGUGCAAAUCGAUCGUCAAAUUUGGGUAUAGGGGCGAAAGACUAAUCGAA